GGCAAUACCGCAUUGUUAUGGGCAUGGAUCCAAAGCUUCUCGAAGGCACUCCAUACCCUACUCAGACUAAAUACGUCCACGACGUACAGAACGGUAACAUAUCUGAGCAUGGGUAUACUGAGAAACCCAACUCCUUGGGAAGGUAUACUUUAUAGAUACAUUCAGUAGA
rnacentral:ribozyme from 1 species